GAUGAACGCUGGCGGCGUGCCUAAUACAUGCAAGUCGAACGAAGCUUCUUUAUCACCGAGUGCUUGCACUCACCGAUAAAGAGUUGAGUGGCGAACGGGUGAGUAACACGUGGGCAACCUGCCCGAAAGAGGGGGAUAACACUUGGAAACAGGUGCUAAUACCGCAUAACCAUGAACACCGCAUGGUGUUUAUGUGAAAGGUGGUUUCGGCUACCGCUUUCGGAUGGGCCCGCGGCGUAUUAGCUAGUUGGUGGGGUAAAGGCUUACCAAGGCAAUGAUGCGUAGCCGAACUGAGAGGGUGAUCGGCCACAUUGGGACUGAGACACGGCCCAAACUCGUACGGGAGGCAGCAGUAGGGAAUCUUGCACAAUGUGCGAAAGCCUGAUGGAGCAACGCCGCGUGGGUGAAGAAGGUCUUCGGAUCGUAAAACCCUGUUGUCAGAGAAGAAAGUGCAUGAGAGUAACUGUUCAUGUUUCGACGGUAUCUGACCAGAAAGCCACGGCUAACUACGUGCCAGCCGCCGCGGUAA
rnacentral:rRNA from 1 species